GAGGUACUCCCUCCGUCCCAAAAUUCUUGUCUUAGAUUUAUCUAGAUACGGAUGUAUCUAAUACUAAAACAUGACUUCAUACAUCCGUAUUUAGACAAAUUUAAGACAAGAAUUUUGGGACGGAGGGAGUAUUAG
rnacentral:pre_miRNA from 1 species